rnacentral:rRNA from 1 species
CCUCUCACCCUGUGACUACCUAAACGUUGCCUCGGCGGAAACAGACGGCCCCGUGAAAACGGGCCGCCCCCGCCAGAGGACCCCCUAACUCUGUUUCUAUAAUGUUUCUUCUGAGUAAAACAAGCAAAUAAAUUAAAACUUUCAACAACGGAUCUCUUGGCUCUGGCAUCGAUGAAGAACGCAGCGAAAUGCGAUAAGUAAUGUGAAUUGCAGAAUUCAGUGAAUCAUCGAAUCUUUGAACGCACAUUGCGCCCGCCAGUAUUCUGGCGGGCAUGCCUGUUCGAGCGUCAUUACAACCCUCAGGCCCCCGGGCCUGGCGUUGGGGAUCGGCGGAGGCCCUCCGUGGGCACACGCCGUCCCCCAAAUACAGUGGCGGUCCCGCCGCAGCUUCCAUCGCGUAGUAGCUAACACCUCGCGACUGGAGAGCGGCGCGGCCACGCCGUAAAACCCCCAACUCUUCUGAAGUUGACCUCGAAUCAGGUAGGAAUACCCGCUGAACUUAAGCAUAUCAAUAAGCGGAGGA